AUUGAACGCUGGCGGCAGGCCUAACACAUGCAAGUCGAACGAGUGGCGGACGGGUGAGUAAUGUCUGGGAAACUGCCCGAUGGAGGGGGAUAACUACUGGAAACGGUAGCUACUACCGCAUACCAUCGGAUGUGCCCAGAUGGGAUUAGCUCGUAGGUGGGGUAAUGGCUCACCUAGGCGACGAUCCCUAGCUGGUCUGAGAGGAUGACAAGGCACACUGGAACUGAGAAACGGUCCAGACGCCGACGGGAGGAAGAAGUGGGGAAUAUGGCACAAUGGGCGAAAGCCUGAGGCAGCCAUGCCGCGGGGAUGAAGAAGGCCGUAGGGUUGUAAAGUACUUUCAGCGAGGAGGCGUUACUCGCAGAAGAAGCACCGGCUAACUCCGUGCCAGCCGCCGCGGUAAUUC
rnacentral:rRNA from 1 species